rnacentral:rRNA from 1 species
AGUGAACGCUGGCGGCAGGCCUAACACAUGCAAGUCGAGCGGAAGAAGAGUGAGAGCUCGCUGUUUCAGCUGGCGAGGGGCGGGCGGGUGAUGAGUAUCUCGCAAGCUACUUUUUCGUGGGGGAUGAAGUGGGGGCUAAUACGGUAAUACUGCAUAGGGCGUAAGGGUGGAAGCAGCGGACCUUAGGACAUUGCGCGAUUCAAUGUCGGAUUAGCUAGUUGGCGGGGUAAAGGCCUACCAAGGCGACGAUCCGUAGCUGGUCUGAGAGGAUGAUCAGACACACUGGAACUGAGACACGGUCCAGACUCCUACGGGAGGCAGCAGUGGGGAAUAUUGGACAAUGGGCGAAAGCCUGAUCCAGCCAUGCCGCGUGUGUGAAGAAGGUCUUCGGAUUGUAAAGCCCUUUUAUUGGGGAAGAAAAGCAGUAAGUUAAUACCUUGCUGUUUUGACGUUACCAAAAGAAUAAGCACCGGCUAACUUCGUG